UCCACAGGUGACAUGGAGAAUUUCUCAAG
rnacentral:piRNA from 1 species